UACCACCAAUGCGGGCAAACGUGAGCGACUGGACAACAGGAGAUUAUAAUUAUAAUUUGCGGGGUGGAAAAAGCAACAGACGGGAGUGUAGCCCUGCAGAUAAGUCUGGUGACAGGCCAGCGGACGAACGAUAAAGGGACAACACAAGAGACAGCUUUGGAUGCUUGCUAAGGCGCUCGCAUGCGAUCCCGCACAGCAGAGAGGCGAGAUGCGAGAGCCAGUCAGUUCCAGAGGGCGCAGGAAGCUGUCGAGGCGAUACGACGGCGAUGAAUCAUCCCCAACCCAGAAGGUUGAACUAGCUGCAGACCAGACAGAGACGGGCGCAGACCACCCAACGACCCGAGCCUGGUGGCGAA
rnacentral:sRNA from 1 species